ACCCGAAGAGUCUGGCCGAAGCCUUUGAUAAAGCUGAAGGCUAUAUCGUAGUGGAAGAAGCCAUGAGUAGCCUCAAGCGUCCUUCUUUAGAUCGGCCCAGAGAUACGGAUCGGGACAAAACUGAUGAAGACCAGAAGAAGAUUGAAGGACACAAAGACCGUCAUGAAGGCGGGUCGAAAAGGUAUAACAAUUGGAGGCAGGGUGGAGGACGUUCGUCCGCUCCCCCCCAGAGAGUAAACAGGACUUACACGGCGCUCAACGCCGAUAGGGCGGUUAUCUUAGAUCAGAU
rnacentral:lncRNA from 1 species